AAAUGAAUAGACGGGGACCCGCACAAGCGGCGGAGCAUGCGGAUUAAUUCGAUGCAACGCGAAGAACCUUACCAAGGCUUGACAUAUACCGGACGCGGCUGGAAACAGUCGUUCCCUUGUGGUCGGUAUACAGGUGGUGCAUGGUUGUCGUCAGCUCGUGUCGUGAGAUGUUGGGUUAAGUCCCGCAACGAGCGCAACCCUCGUUCUCUGUUGCCAGCACGUGAUGGUGGGAACUCAGGGAAUACUGCCGGGGUCAACUCGGAGGAAGGUGGGGAUGACGUCAAAUCAUCAUGCCCCUUAUGUCUUGGGCUUCACGCAUGCUACAAUGGCCGGUACAAUGGGCAGCGAUACCGUGAGGUGGAGCGAAUCCCAAAAAGCCGGUCCCAGUUCGGAUCGUAGUCUGCAACUCGACUACGUGAAGUCGGAGUCGCUAGUAAUCGCAGAUCAGCAACGCUGCGGUGAAUACGUUCCCGGGUCUUGUACACACCGCCCGU
rnacentral:rRNA from 1 species